UUAGGAUCAAUGAGUAGGUUGUGCUAUUGUGUUUAGUUGUGAGUUUAAGUGACAGAACGGGCCUAUUGGUCUGGUGGUUGGGUGAGCAUUAGUGAAACUUUGAGUUUUGGGUUCGAGUCCUUGUGUUUUAAGUUUUUUUUAUUUAUUUUAAUUUUUAAAUUUUCUUUUUCUUUUUUGAUAAUUGGGGAGAGGAAUGGGGUUGGUUGGAAUCGAAUCCAAGCUCUUAUACCUAUAACAUAAUAAUCUUACCAUUAGGUCAAGAGAUGGUUGGAAAUUUCUAAUUUUUACUUUUUAAUUAAUGCUUUUAAUUAAAUUAAUUCAUGUUGUUUAAAGAUUUUUUAUUUUAAUUUUUAAUUAAUGUUUUUAGUUAAUAAAUAUGUUGUGUUCAAGUUUUUUAAAUUUAUUUUUAAUU
rnacentral:lncRNA from 1 species